rnacentral:lncRNA from 10 species
UAGGCCCCGCCCACAGAGGAGGGUACCCCGCCGGAAGCCCCCUGCUCUGUGGGAACCGGAGGGAGGACAGCGCGAGGUCCCCGGACAAAGCGUGGCGCAUAAGUCCGGCCCGUAACUUGGUGGGCAGGCAACUUAGGGGAUGUGGGCCUGGUUAUAGCUGAGCAUGCUUUUCUAUUCCUCCCAGACCACAGUUCUUCAGACCUGGAGCCACUUUCAGAGAAGAGUAUAAGUUGCACUGAAUUGAAAAAGGGAAAAGUUUAGGACUGCAGAAGAUGGAAUUCCUGGGGACGUUAAACUGGGCUAAGAUGGAGCAGAUAAGAUUUCCUUAAUUAGAGCAAGACACACCUAGUAUCUAGAGCCUGGAAGUCUUGGUCAAGGAUUCUCCCUAACAUCUCAGUUUCUCAGCACUAACAUUCCUGCUACUAAAAUGAAGUGAGAAAUUAAUUUCUGAAGUUAAGUAAAGAAAUAAACUAAAAUUCCUAGAAAAGAGGUAAGAAGAAUGAGCCUUUGAAAAAUGUCUUCACAAAGACUGGCAUGAUGGCAUGGAAGAAAGAGCCCCAGGUAUCCAGUAUACAUCUCAAGGUCAACUUGUCCAAAACAGAGCUACUGAUGAUUUUCCCCUUGAAAUCUACUCUUCCUACAGCUUAUUCAUCUCAAAUAGCUGGAGUACAGUGGCAUGAUCAUAUCUCACUGCAACUUCUACCUCCUGGGCUCAAGCAAUCCUCUUACCUCAGCCUCCUGAGUAGCUGGGACUAUAGGUACGUGCCACCAUGCCUGGGUAAGUUUUUUAUUUUUUAUGUGUACAGAUAGGGUUUUGCCAUGUUGCCAAGGCUGGUGUCAAAACUCCUGGGCUCAAGUGAUC